CGGGGUGAGUAAUACAUCGGAACGUGUCCCGUAGUGGGGGAUAGCCCGGCGAAAGCCGGAUUAAUACCGCAUAUGCUCUACGGAGGAAAGUGGGGGACUCGCAAGGGCCUCACGCUAUGGGAGCGGCCGAUGUCCGAUUAGCUUGUUGGCGGGGUAAUGGCCCACCAAGGCGACGAUCGGUAGCUGGUCUGAGAGGAUGGUCAGCCACACUGGGACUGAGACACGGCCCAG
rnacentral:rRNA from 1 species